GACGAACGCUGGCGGCGUGCUUAACACAUGCCAGUCGAACGGAAAGGCCCUGCUUUUGUGGGGUGCUCGAGUGGCGAACGGGUGAGUAACACGUGAGUAACCUGCCCUUGACUUUGGGAUAACUUCAGGAAACUGGGGCUAAUACCGGAUAGGAGCUCCUGCUGCAUGGUGGGGGUUGGAAAGUUUCGGCGGUUGGUGAUGGACGCGCGGCUUAUCAGCUUGUUGGUGGGGUAGUGGCUUACCAAGGCUUUGACGGGUAGCCGGCCUGAGAGGGGGACCGGCCACAUUGGGACUGAGAUACGGCCCAGACUCCUACGGGAGGCAGCAGUGGGGAAUAUUGCACAAUGGGCGGAAGCCUGAUGCAGCAACGCCGCGUGCGGGAUGACGGCCUUCGGGUGGUAAACCGCUUUCGCCUGUGACGAAGCGUGAGUGACGGUAAUGGGUAAAGAAGCACCGGCUAACUACGUG
rnacentral:rRNA from 1 species